ensembl:lncRNA
AUAGUAAGUGUAUACUGUACAGUAUGCAGUGGACUGGUUUUCCUCUCCGCAGUAUUGCAGUGCUUACCACAUGAUGGAGCUCUUUCUUUUAAUUACACCCUUGCCACUGCAACAACUUUGUUUAUAGCUCUGUUCAAUAUUGCUUUUUGCAAAUUAACACAGCUGUCCAAUUACAAAAACCCUCAUAACUUAGAAAUUAGUAAUACAUGCACUCACAGUAAUGUUGGCAAGCAUAACUAUUAACUGUUGAUCAUACUUGGGGGUUUUUCAGUUCAAGGUUGGUGCAUAAUUCAACUGCUGUUUGUGCCAUGGAUAUGAUUCUCAAAUCAUACAAGGUGUGCUGAUACUUUUCCAAAUCUCUAGACAAUUCUUACCUGCUUGAUGGACAAAAAAAGCCUUAGGCUUAGGAUCCUAGUCUAUGAUGUUUGGGAAAAGUUGAUAUUAUUUGCCUUGUAAAAGAUGAAGGGAGGCUCUUAAGGGAGUGCAGAUGUGUUGACAGAGUCGUGUCUUUGUCCCUGGAGUGCCAUGAGCAGGAACACGUGGAAGAGCAAAUGAUUUCUCAGGAGAGGACACAGUAACUCAAGGGUCAAAAGCCACACGAGUAAGAGAGAUGGAUUGAGUUUGGUGCCAGUGAUUUUUCACUUUGUGUUUUAUGAACUCCAGCUCAAUCGCAUACAAGACCGUGGCAAAAUCAAUCCAAUCAAUGCUAAUUGUGUGAGAGUGAUAACAUUGGCAGAGAGCAAUGAAGCCUCAGACUUGAAGAAAAGACAAUGGGAAAGAAGAGUGAGAAUGAGAAUCGAAAAAGGUGCGAGAUUCUGCUGAUAGCUGAUGUUGAAAUAAACCUAAUGAUUUUAAAGCAGAAUAUCAUCUGCUGUUCGAUUGGCUCACACUUUAAUGUGUAAAUACUGUGUUGUAAGAGGCUAUAAUUAGCCGUCUCACCUCUCUCUUCCCACUCAGGGAGAAACAGUGUGAUAAGGAAGGCACAGCUGCUCUCAGACUGGAUGAACUAAAGCACACGGCAGCCUCUGACUGCUCUCUUCACUCCGUCUCCCCUUCAGCUCGGUAGAGGAAUAGUAAAUUCUCUCAUUAUUUCUUCCAUGGAGAUCGAAAGGUGAACAAAAAAGUGAGUGAAGACUUGAAAAUGACAGAAAAGCACCAUAAAAAUGAUCUUUUUUAGCUCGCAGAUCACAUUCAUGUCCACAUAUAUUUAGAUAUGGCAUGUCAAGGCAUUACCAAGUGUUGUUAAAUAUGCCAUUGGUCACUGUCAUAGGUUCUCUUAACUUUAAUAUGCACAUAUUUAAUUUAAAUGAAAGGAUAUGAGGGCUAUGGCAGAG